rnacentral:rRNA from 1 species
CCUACGGGCGGCUGCAGUGGGGAAUAUUGGACAAUGGGGGGAACCCUGAUCCAGCCAUGCCGCGUGUGUGAAGAAGGCCCUCGGGUUGUAAAGCACUUUCAGUGAGGAAGAACGCCUGGUGGUUAAUACCCAUCAGGAAAGACAUCACUCACAGAAGAAGCACCGGCUAACUCCGUGCCAGCAGCCGCGGUAAUACGGAGGGUGCGAGCGUUAAUCGGAAUUACUGGGCAUAAAGCGCGCGUAGGUGGCUUGAUAAGCCGGUUGUGAAAGCCCCGGGCUCAACCUGGGAACGGCAUCCGGAACUGUCAAGCUAGAGUGCAGGAGAGGAAGGUAGAAUUCCCGGUGUAGCGGUGAAAUGCGUAGAGAUCGGGAGGAAUACCAGUGGCGAAGGCGGCCUUCUGGACUGACACUGACACUGAGGUGCGAAAGCGUGGGUAGCAAACAGGAUUAGAUACCCUGGUAGUC